GAUACGACACUCUUUGAGCGAGUGCAGGCUCCAAUCUGUGGGGAAAAGAAUUUGAAGAAAGAGAAAGGGGACAGGGGAGUUGCAGAGAAGAGAAAGAAGACGAAGCUGAAAAAAGGACAAAAUGAUAUAUUCUUUUCAUAUCCCUCACGGGUCCCUUGACAGUACAAUAUAUUAUCCCUUCCAAAAACAGCCACGCACCCUUAACUAACUAAAUAGAAUAAAAUUGAUAACAACGAAACAAUAAUUGAAAACAGAACAAUAUUCGUUAUUAUGAUAUCUCAAGCAUUCUCGAACAUUCCUCAAAUGACAAAGCCUUUUGAGCCAUCUUGGUUUCUUUCUCGCGCGAGCUGGACCUGUCUUGAGCUGCUCUCUAGCUUGUGUCUCAUUCAAGGGUUGGACUUCUUCCAUUUCUGCAGGCUGGGUCUCUUCCUUUGCUGUCUCAUUGUGCUCGAUCUGAUUCAUAACAAUUGGCCAAGUUGUAUCAUUCCCCAUUCCUUGAAAGCUUACCUUGUCCUCAAGGUGUAGUGUAGGGUAGAGUUUACGAAAUUCCUCAAAGUCCUCCCAAGUCGAAUUUUCUGGUGAGCUAUCAGACCAUUGCACCAAAAUUUGUGGAAUUUCUUUGCCUUGUCGAAGUAUCUUUUGCUCAGCACAUACUGCAAUUGGCGAUGACAGGGGCUUGUUACCCACACUUCCUGGAGGCAGUGAAUAAACAUCAAUGGGGGAGUUUCCCACAUAAGGUUUUAGUAAGGAAAUAUGGGACACCGGGUGAAUUUUACAAUUUGUGGGUAACUCUAACUUGUAAGCAACGGGUCCAAUACGCUCUACCACUGUGAACGGUCCAUAAUAGCGCCUUGCCAGCUUGUGAGAUGAGCGCUUAGCAACUGAUGUCUGGCGAUAUGGCUGAAGGUGCACCAACACUUUAUCACCUACCUGCAAUUGAGUUUCUCGGCGAUGUAAAUUAGCCUUUUGAGCCAUUCGAUGCUGAGCUUGUCGUAAGUUCUCUUUCAAUGAGCAAAGCAUGGCAUCCCUCUCAAUUAACAUGUCUUCUAAAGCUUGGAUUGAAGUAGAGCCCCUUGAGUAACUUGGAAUUGUGGGAGGAAAACGUCCAUAAAGGGCUUGAAAGGGAGUCAUACGCAAGCUGCUGUGAUUUGGAAUUGGGUCUCCCCGUAAAAUGACAGAUUUUCCCUCCCACUGAAACUCCAUCGUCAUCUCGGAGUAAUCCGUAGAAAUUCUUCCCAAGCUUUGUAACCAUUGAAUCCCAAGGACAGCAUCAGGGCCUUCGAUUGGCAAAAGGAAGAAAUCCAAAAGAAAUUCAUGCCCCUGCAUAUUGAUAGGCACUUUAGGGCAGAGAAAUCGACAAGUAAGAAAAUCGACAUUGCCAAUGUAAACUCGAAAAUGAGUUAUAGCUUGAACGGAAAGGCUAAGGCGUUCAGCCAAUGGCGGCUUAAGAAAAUUGUGGGUACUGCCACUGUCAAUUAACACCUGAAACUGAUAGCUGGCAACGGUGCCCAGCACCCUUAAAGAUCGUGGAUUAGUUUGCCCAGCCAAGGCAUUCAAACUAGAUAUGUCCGCUGUGACUACUUCGUCUGGUUGUGCAUGACUAAAAGCGUCCUCACUUGGCUCAUCAUCUUCAUCAUCCAUACCCAUUAAUAACAAAAACUUGCUACGACAGCGAUGUGUGGCGCUAUAUUUUUGGUCGCAGUUGUAACAGAGCCCUUUUUCUCUUUUCUCUCUUAAUUCUGCUGGAGUUAAUCGACGAAUGGGCAAGGUGGGAGUAGGCAAUAAUGGGGGUUGAGGUGGCUGUUUAGUGGCGGACAAACUAGGAAGAGGAGUUGUUGUUGGGGUUUUAUAUGAUGCAGGAUGUGGGGAGGCAGUAACGGUGGAUUGGUGGGUGUGAGUAGAUGAUGGUGUCCACUUUGUCCAAGAACGGCUAGAGGUCUUGAUUUCUUCCGAUCGUGCCUCAUAAGCUUUGGCUAAAGCAAAAGCCUCCAUGAGAGAUGUGGGUCUUGCAAAUAAUAAUUCUCGUCUGAUAUCGGGUUUUAAGCCCGUGAUAAAGAAACUAACCAACAAUGGCUCGGAGAUGCCCGUGACCUUGUUCAUCAAAUCCUCAAAGGCAGACUGAAAAUCAGUAACAGUCGACGUUUGAGAGAGCUUGGAGAGGUUACCUUGAUGAUCUUCAUACAUGGAUGUACCAAAUCUUUGCUUAAGAUUGAGUAAAAAAUUCUGCCAAGUGCUCAGCAAGUUGUUGGCCUUCAUCCAUUGAUACCAUGCUGCUGCUUUUCCCUCCAUGUGAAAAGAUACAAUACGAAGGCGUAACUGGUCAGGGGUGCCGUGAAAAUCAAAGAACUCAUUGAUUCGAAAAUCCCAACCAUUCGGAUCAGUGCCAUCAAAUUUUGGGACAUCCAUUUUCAUAGAACGCAACAGAGGAGAGAUAUCCGAAACACCUGACAGUACAGUCGAAGACGCUGGUUCCGGUGCCAUUGGGCGGGAAGAACCCACUGACGCUCCGACGGAACCAUUGAUUUGGGAACGUAGCUCCUCAAAUCGAGAAUCCACCGUGGACAUAUAUUGUUGUAAGGUCUGAUGAACAGCAAGCGUUUGAUUUUCAAUGAGCGUUUUCAUGGUGGAGAGAACUGCUGAAUCAGUCGUUGGUUCUCUCUCGUACGUGUGAAAGUAGUUCACAUUAGUUGAUACGACACUCUUUGAGCGAGUGCAGGCUCCAAUCUGUGGGGAAAAGAAUUUGAAGAAAGAGAAAGGGGACAGGGGAGUUGCAGAGAAGAGAAAGAAGACGAAGCUGAAAAAAGGACAAAAUGAUAUAUUCUUUUCAUAUCCCUCACGGGUCCCUUGACAGUACAAUAUAUUAUCCCUUCCAAAAACAGCCACGCACCCUUAACUAACUAAAUAGAAUAAAAUUGAUAACAACGAAACAAUAAUUGAAAACAGAACAAUAUUCGUUAUUAUGAUAUCUCAAGCAUUCUCGAACAUUCCUCAAAUGACAAAGCCUUUUGAGCCAUCUUGGUUUCUUUCUCGCGCGAGCUGGACCUGUCUUGAGCUGCUCUCUAGCUGGUGUCUCAUUCAAGGGUUGGACUUCUUCCAUUUCUGCAGGCUGGGUCUCUUCCUUUGCUGUCUCAUUGUGCUCGAUCUGAUUCACAACAAUUGGCCAAGUUGUAUCA
rnacentral:lncRNA from 1 species